CUUUAUUGGCAUGAAUGUAAAAGUCAACACUAUUGCCAAAGCAUAAAACAGAAAACAAACAAUAAUAAUAAUAAUUAAUAAUAAAUAAUUAAAAGAAAGAUUACAUAUAUACAAUUACACCAACAGAAAUGAUUAUUUACAGGAUUAACACUUAUAAUUAUUAUUAAUGAUCAUUCAAAUAGAAGGAAAUAAGAGUGUGGAGACUUUAUAAAUGUGUAAUAAUAUCAAUGAAUCAGUAAUAUUAGAAAUGAGUUAUAAUAAUUUAUAUUGUGUGGUUUUGUCCACACUGGUUGUCCCUCAGGUUGUGACAGUCUGUAACAUAUCGAGCUGCCUGAGUGAUCAGCUCUCUCUUCUCUCCCAGUAUAUACUGGAGCUUCUCAGAGUCUGAGCAGA